GCCCAGAUGGUGAAAUUGGUAGACACGCCAGCUUCAGGUGCUGGUGACCGCAAGGUCGUGGAAGUUCGAGUCUUUUUAUUCGAGCAACA
rnacentral:tRNA from 1 species